rnacentral:rRNA from 1 species
UUUAAAGAGAGUUUGAUCCUGGCUCAGGACGAACGCUGGCGGCGUGCCUAAUACAUGCAAGUCGAACGAACGGAGGAAGAGCUUGCUCUUCCAAAGUUAGUGGCGGACGGGUGAGUAACACGUGGGCAACCUGCCUGUAAGUUGGGGAUAACUCCGGGAAACCGGGGCUAAUACCGAAUGAUAGAAUGUGGCGCAUGCCACGCUUUUGAAAGAUGGUUUCGGCUAUCGCUUACAGAUGGGCCCGCGGUGCAUUAGCUAGUUGGUAGGGUAAUGGCCUACCAAGGCAACGAUGCAUAGCCGACCUGAGAGGG